rnacentral:rRNA from 1 species
UUGACCUCGGAUCAGGUAGGAAUACCCGCUGAACUUAAGCAUAUCAAUAAGCGGAGGAAAAGAAACCAACAGGGAUUGCCUCAGUAACGGCGAGUGAAGCGGCAACAGCUCAAAUUUGAAAUCUGGCCUCUGCGGGGUCCGAGUUGUAAUUUGGAGAGGAUGUUUCGGGCACGGUCCGGGCUUAAAUUUCUUGGAACAGAAUGUCACAGAGGGUGAGAAUCCCGUCUGGAGUCCGGACACGGCCCAUGUGAAACUCCUUCGACGAGUCGAGUUGUUUGGGAAUGCAGCUCUAAAUGGGUGGUAAAUUUCAUCUAAAGCUAAAUAUUGGCCAGAGACCGAUAGCGCACAAGUAGAGUGAUCGAAAGAUGAAAAGCACUUUGAAAAGAGAGUUAAACAGUACGUGAAAUUGUUGAAAGGGAAGCGCUGUCAACCAGACUUGCGCGUCGGGGUUCCCCCUUGCUUCUGCCUGGGUUACUCCCCGGCGUUCAGGCCAACAUCGGUUUCGGGGGUUGGUUAAAGGCCCUGGGAAUGUAUCUACCCUCCGGGGUAGACUUAUAGCCCAGGGUGUCAUGCGACCUCCCGGGACCGAGGAACGCGCUUCGGCUCGGAUGUUGGCGUAAUGGUUGUCAGCGACCCGUCUUGAAACACGGACCAAGGAGUCUAACAUCUAUGCGAGUGUUAGGGUGUCAAACCCUUACGCGGAAUGAAAGUGAACGGAGGUAGGAAGCCUUAAGGCUGCACUAUCGACCGAUCCUGAUGUCUUCGGAUGGAUUUGAGUAAGAGCAUAGCUGUUGGGACCCGAAAGAUGGUGAACUAUGCCUGAAUAGGGUGAAGCCAGAGGAAACUCUGGUGGAGGCUCGCAGCGGUUCUGACGUGCAAAUCGAUCGUCAAAUUUGGGUAUAGGGGCGAAAGACUAAUCGAACCAUCUGGUAGCUGGUUCCUGCCGAAGUUUCCCUCAGGAUAGCAGUAACGUUUUCAGUUUUAUGAGGUAAAGCGAAUGAUUAGAGGCCUUGGGGUUGAAACAACCUUAACCUAUUCUCAAACUUUAAAUAUGUAAGAAGUCCUUGUCACUUAAUUGGACGUGGACAGUUGAAUGUAUCGUUACUAGUGGGCCAUUUUUGGUAAGCAGAACUGGCGAUGCGGGAUGAACCGAACGAGAGGUUAAGGUGCCGGAGUGCACGCUCAUCAGACACCA